CUCUCUCUCAGUAGUUGCACUGGUUUUCAAGGAUAUUUUUACUGUUCUAGUGACAGAUUAACAUCAUUUCUACAUUACUAACAAGAGAAACACGCUUUUAAAAGGCUGUAAUUGAAGUGACACGGUUUUCAAGGGUGUUUUACAGUUCUAGUGACACAUCUACAACAUUUCUACAUUAUUAACAGGAGAAACACCCUUGAAAACCCUGGUAAUCAUCUUUGCGGCUUUGAGAAACAGUCGUGAAGAGAGAGAGAGAGAGAGAGAGAGAGAGAGAGAGGAGCAUUUUAGUUGAGCCUACCCUACGCUCAUUCGUGUUUGCGGCGGUGACAAGGUGCAACACUUCUCCUUGCACCGAGCACCGCCAAGCAGCACCAAAGAGGCACGAAUACGCAAGCAGAUGGUCAAUAAGGGCAUGCGGGGGAAAGGCCACUAAGUGUUGCAUUUCAUCCAGCUUGUGCAGAGCCUCCUUCAGAGUUGCAGGGUCUAUCCAGGAUGCUUCCACCAGCAUGUCUCUGAAUGCUGCAGACACGUCCUCCACCAUCUGCAACGUCUGUAAAGUCGUCCCUAGUUAAGGUUCUUGCAGGUGCAUGCUCCAGAAGAUUCACCAAACGGGGCAGAUAGGCAGGUCUGUCCACUACCAGCUGCUGUGUUUCUGUCAAGUGUAUUCCUGUCCCAUUGAAUAUAUCCUUAAGGAAGCUUAGCCAGUCUACCUGUGGAGGAGGAGGGGCUUGCCAGGGAGUGAUGGAAGAUCCUCCUCCAGCAGACCUGAAGGAAGAAAAAUAAACAACAAGGUUUCUCCUGGUUCACCAUCUGACACCUUCCACACAAAGCCCCAUCACGUCUCCAUACAUACCUUGCACAUCCAGCAGCGUCUUUUCAUCCAGGUC